AUGAAUUCCUGAGAAUUCCGAGAUGAUGCCA
rnacentral:piRNA from 1 species